rnacentral:tRNA from 2 species
GUCCUCGUAGCUCAAUGGAUAGAGCGUUUGGUUGCGGUCCAAAAGGUUGCAGGUUCGAUUCCUGCCGGGGACGCCA